AUAAGGAAAGAUUUAGGGGGAAGAUCGUACUCUUCGGAAACAGAGUUCUCUGAUCCCUGAUCCACAUUUGCAAGCCCCCAGGGUUGUUUCAAUUUUGCCAGUGAGUUUCAAGAACUUACUUUGAAAACUCUUGAAAUGACAUUAAGCCCUUGAAACUUUUUUUGGCAACAUGCCGUGGUGCCUUUGUAGAAAAGAAAGGAGUGAUUACGACAUGGAACCGAUGGAAACAAGGAUAGUGUCUACCUUCCCGAGAAUUGACGUCGCAUUAAGAUUAGCUCCCGAUGAAAAGAGCUAAGCUGUUACCAUAAGCCCUGUUUCACAGAACCCACAGUUUUUGACCGUGUACACGGCAGCACAGGAUAAGGACUACGUACAUUUCCUGGCCUCCCUUGCAGAUAGUGUCCGUGUGACCUAGUUCUGCUCAAUGGGAGGCAAGCAGAAGCGGUGUGUGCAACUUCUACUAAGUGUUCUCAAGUGGAGAGAGUAUGAUCUCCUUUGUCCUUCCCUUCAUCCUAGGGACUGGAAUUCGGAGGUAAUCGAUGGGACUCCAGUAGCCAUUUUGGAUCCCGGUAGCCAUUUUGGACCCGGAGAUGACAGUCCUGAAUUGCUUCCAACAGAGAGACCUAAGCAUUUAGGUCUUACUUAAGCCACUAUUAUUUUGGGCUUUCUGUUCUUUGGGCCAGACUUAAUUCUAAAUGAUAUGGCGUCCAAAGGAUGGGGGAUAUAAAUGGAAGAGAAGCAUAUAUAUAUAUCCACUUGAAAAAAUGGCUCUCACUGGCCUGUGUCCCCUCAUCCCUGCCUUCUUGUAAUAUUUUUGACUAGCCUGCCUUGUGAGAACAGUAAUAAUUGCUACUUACUGAGCCUCUACUCUGAGUCAGGCACUGGGAGGCACUUUACAUCUGGUAUCUCAUAGAAUAUUUACAACGUCUCUGUGAAGGAGGUAUAAUUAUUGCCAUUAUGGCCAUUUUCCAUAACUGGUUGUCCCGCCCCGAAUCUUGCUGCAUUCGACCUACCGUAUAAAUAGUAGCCUGCUUGGUUCUUCCCACAGAAAUCUUGUUGUAGCACCCUUCUGUUGAGGAUAUUUCCAUGGUGUUUGAGUUAUCUAAUGCUAUGUAACAAAUCACCGAAAACACGGUGCUUAAAAAGAUA